rnacentral:rRNA from 1 species
UCGAGAAUCUUCGGCAAUGGGCGCAAGCCUGACCGAGCGACGCCGCGUGCGGGAUGAAGGCCUUCGGGUUGUAAACCGCUGUCGUAGGGGAGGAAGGUUGCGUGAAGAACGUAACUUGACCGAUCCUAGGAGGAAGGGCCGGCUAAUCUCGUGCCAGCAGCCGCGGUAAUACGAGAGGCCCAAACGUUAUUCGGAAUUACUGGGCUUAAAGAGUCCGUAGGCGGCGCAGAAAGUAGGGUGUGAAAGCCCUCGGCUCAACCGAGGAAUUGCGCUCUAAACUACUGUGCUCGAGGAACCUAGAGGUGAGCAGAACUGAUGGUGGAGCGGUGAAAUGCGUUGAUAUCAUCAGGAAUACCGGAGGCGAAGGCGGCUCACUGGGGGUUUUCUGACGCUGAGGGACGAAAGCCAGGGGAGCGAACGGGAUUAGAUACCCGCGUAGUCC